AGUGAACGCUGGCGGUAGGCCUAACACAUGCAAGUCGAACGGCAGCACAGUAAGAGCUUGCUCUUACGGGUGGCGAGUGGCGGACGGGUGAGGAAUACGUCGGAAUCUACUUUUUCGUGGGGGAUAACGUAGGGAAACUUACGCUAAUACCGCAUACGACCUACGGGUGAAAGCAGGGGAUCUUCGGACCUUGCGCGAUUGAAUGAGCCGAUGUCGGAUUAGCUAGUUGGCGGGGUAAAGGCCCACCAAGGCGACGAUCCGUAGCUGGUCUGAGAGGAUGAUCAGCCACACUGGAACUGAGACACGGUCCAGACUCCUACGGGAGGCAGCAGUGGGGAAUAUUGGACAAUGGGCGCAGGCCUGAUCCAGCCAUACCGCGUGGGUGAAGAAGGCCUUCGGGUUGUAAAGCCCUUUUGUUGGUAAAGAAAAGCAGCAGGUUAAUACCCCGCUGUUCUGACGGUACCCAAAGAAUAAGCACCGGCUAACUUCGUG
rnacentral:rRNA from 1 species